GUCUGCGUCGCUUAGUGGUUAAAGCGCUUCGUUGUGGCGUAAGCCUCCUCGAAGAGGGAAGUUUUCUUUCCGAAGAGCCGCGUGUUCGAUUCACGCCGCGGACA